UUUGCCUUGUCUUGUACUUGGUACAAUGGCGCUAUCGAUACUAUCGCAUGUAUCACCUGUGUUACUAGGAACUACAUGCAUUUUGGCGAUUUUAUUUAGGAAGCACGGCUUUGACGAUGUUGAGGGGAAAAGAAUUCUUUGCUAUCCUGCUGAUUGCAGCUGAUUUCUGCCCUGCAGCACAAUCAUCGGCAAAAUGCCAGUCCUGCAGACCUGCUGGCUGUUGUCCAGCAACAACAGAUACAACAACAGCAGCAGCAACAGCAAACGGACCAGCAAACGCACCAGCAAGUGCAAGUGCAACACCAGCACUUGAGACUGAGCACUGCGACACCAUCUCAUCAUGUGAGCAGCUUUCUCAACGAGACUGCAAACCCGAAUGAUUCCUUCACUUUGGCUGUGGCCGCGAAUGACAGCAACAACAGCAGCAGCAACAACAUCGUCAACAAUAUUAAAGCGCAAUUCCAGAAGGGCAAACCACAAUGGGCCAAUCUGUUUUCGGGUCUGAAUCGCCAUCGGAAAAAAGCUGACUGUCGCUCAAUUCUAUUAGCACAAGGCGAACAUUAUUUCCAGUCGAAAGACCAUCUACAAACCACAAGAGCCCACACCCACUGCUGAUCAGUUUGCUGAGCAGUUUCCGCUCCAGUUUGUGGACUUGCUAGAGCAUCAGAAGCACGGUUUGAAAUGGAUGCAGUUCCGGGAACGGCAGGCUAUUUGCGGUGGCAUCCUGGCAGACGAAAUGGGGCUGUGAUAGACUCUUAGUAUGAUUUCCUUAAUCUUGACCUCUCUGGAGAUAAAGAUCAAAAAAGAAAAAAAUCAGAGAGCGUUAGUUGCCAAAUGGAAUAAAGAACUUUAACGAAUGCCGGUUAAAAAGA